rnacentral:lncRNA from 1 species
GUCACCCAGGCUUCAAGCAUAACCGUUAAAGAGCUUGAUAAACUCCUACCGUGGUUAUCACUGCAAACAUGCUGCCGAGUAUUGAUGUUGCCAUCCAUAUUCCAUCCUUGUUUCUAACAGGAGGACUUCAGAUGGCACAUUGCACACUGUCCUUGUGAUGGCUGAUUCGAUGGUUUACCAACUUGUAUCCAACAUUAUUUUGUGAAAGAACAGUUCUAACAAUUUUGUGUGGGACCAUCUACUGAAGACUGGCUAUCACAUCUUGAGCCACACUCUCAAAGAAAACUGACACUCCCCCAGCAAUCAUCAGCUACCCACAGCUCCCCAUUGAGGGGUAAAUUCCACAAGGGACUGUUGUUAGGCUCCAUCUUGUGCAUAUCUUAGGCAGACAACCACAGUUCCUUUGAGUUCACGAGUGCAGUGGACUUGUCAUGUCUAGAAGAUAGUGUUCUCUUCGGAUCCUCCCUGACCUCUGGCUCAUAAAAUCUUUUCUCCACACUUCCAUGAUGGUCCCCAAGCCUUGGAGAGGAAUGUGAUAUAGAUGCCCCAUUUAUGACUGAGCUCCACUGACACGUCUCUGCACUUGGACCCGUCGUUAGUUUCUGCAUUAACCACAAUCCACUGCACAAAGAAGCUUCUCUAAUGAUGUUUGAGAGCUGCACUAAUGAGAGCCUGGGCCCAGAAGAAUACUCUCUACUUUCUUCCUCUAGAAAUUUCAGAGUUUCCAGUCUAGUAGAUCAAUCUGGAAUUGACUUGCGCACAAGACCCCUCAAGAUUCUACCUAUGAGACCACAUCAUCUACAACUGGAGAUGGUUUUACUUCUUCUUCCUUUUCCAUUUAAUGGUUUCUACUUCUCCUUUCAUCUCCCCUCCUUUGGUCCUCCAGUACAGUGUGGGUUCAAACACUCCAUUCUGUCUUAUUCCUGAUCAUACAGAUGCUCUGUGUUGAGGUAUUUGAGAAAGUCCCCUUCCUUCAUUAGUGUUUUUUGGGGGGAGCAUGUUUUUAUUGAAGAAAGUUAUUCCAUAUGGCUUUACUGGUCGAUCUUUUUCAAUAGCAAAGCAAUUUUUAUUCGUUCAAAAAUUCCUCUUAAAAACACAUUUUUUUUUAUCUUGUGGCAAAAUAAACUGAUUUUUAAUUG